AACGAACGCUGGCGGCAGGCCUAACACAUGCAAGUCGAACGCACCGCAAGGUGAGUGGCGCACGGGUGAGUAACACGUGGGAAUGUACCCUUUGGUUCGGAAUAACGUUUGGAAACGAACGCUAAUACCGGAUGAGCCCUGCGGGGGAAAGAUUUAUCGCCAAAGGAGCAGCCCGCGUCUGAUUAGCUAGUUGGUGGGGUAAAGGCCUACCAAGGCGACGAUCAGUAGCUGGUCUGAGAGGAUGAUCAGCCACACUGGGACUGAGACACGGCCCAGACUCCUACGGGAGGCAGCAGUGGGGAAUAUUGCGCAAUGGACGAAAGUCUGACGCAGCCACGCCGCGUGAGUGAGGAAGGCCUCGGGUUGUAAGACGUCUGUCAACUGGAAAACGGAC
rnacentral:rRNA from 1 species